GAUGAACGCUGGCGGCGUGCCUAAUACAUGCAAGUCGAGCGAACGGACGAGAAGCUUGCUUCUCUGAUGUUAGCGGCGGACGGGUGAGUAACACGUGGAUAACCUACCUAUAAGACUGGGAUAACUUCGGGAAACCGGAGCUAAUACCGGAUAAUAUUUUGAACCGCAUGGUUCAAAAGUGUAAGACGGUCUUGCUGUCACUUUUAGAUGGAUCCGCGCUGCAUUAGCUAGUUGGUAAGGUAACGGCUUACCUAGGCAACGAUGCAUAGCCGACCUGAGAGGGUGAUCGGCCACACUGGAACUGAGACACGGUCCAGACUCCUACGGGAGGCAGCAGUAGGGAAUCUUGCGCAAUGGGCGAAAGCCUGACGGAGCAACGCCGCGUGAGUGAUGAAGGUCUUCGGAUCGUAAAACUCUGUUAUUAGGGAAGAACAUAUGUGUAAGUAACUGUGCACAUCUUGACGGUACCUAAUCAGAAAGCCACGGCUAACUACGUG
rnacentral:rRNA from 1 species